UCGUUGUUCAGUCGCUGUGGUGUCAACU
rnacentral:piRNA from 1 species